UCGACCAGUAGCAGCUCUGUCAUCCCUGUAGUGGGAGGAGCAGAUGAACCACUGCUAGGAUUGCAGCCAAUUCUCAGGAAGAAGUAUCGUGGAGCUGGACUAGAGCACAUGAUAUGUGAAUCACAAAUGAAGCCAACAGUUAUGCCAAUCCUAAACUGCAUUUGAUGCACUAAUGGUGAGUCACCUUCUCAAACAUGACUGAAAAGAAUCAAGAUGCUGCCAUAUCUGGAAUAGUAGCUCCAGCAAAGGAAACAUCACUUACUAUGACAUAUUUUCAAAUUUUCCACUGGUACACAUUGUGAUUCCAUUGAUGUUGGAAAGUGGAACUUGUCUAAUGAAGGAUAGCAGACUGGACACCUGCAGAAGUCAAAACAGUGUUUCAACACCACUGCAGAGUGGACUAGGCAGAGGAACAACCAUAGGACAAGAGGCUUGGCCUGAUCUGAAGUAAAUGCUUGGAAGGCCAGAUAUUAUUCAAUUGUCAGCUACUUACAUCACUACCAACAUUCAGCACCCAAAGGGAACUUUGCAAUUAUCCAGAAAUCACACUUUACUGUCUCCAGGUGAAUUGCCUGGGCUGUCCCCUUAUGCUGCUGACUAUCUCAAACUAUACUCUUCACCUCCACGCUCUUUGACGAUGAUGUACUUUUAUUGAACUUCUCAGUGCUGCUGAUAACUUCCAAGUGCUGUCUACUUUCCAAGUGACUUCAUGAUAUCCCAUGUACAUUAUCAGGCUGUCCCUAUUUGAGAACAGGUACCACCAUGCUUUGUUUAAGUAAAGAAGUUAAAGAAAGUAAAUAAUACUUUUAACUGCACAUUACAGACCAAUUGAUCUCCAGGUGAGAACCCUUCAUUUAU